AGAUGUUAUGUUGGUUUGUGGGUGGGAAGAAAAGAUGUUAUGUUGGUUUGUGGGUGGGUUCUUCCCACCCACAAACCAACAUAACAU
rnacentral:pre_miRNA from 1 species